AGGACACGUCUGAAGCGUGUGCUAUUGACUGUAUGCCAACUUUCAAGCUUUACAAAGUCGGAAAACAGGUUGACUCACUGGAGGGAGCCGACAAGGAGAAACUGGAGAGCAUGAUAGUCAGCAAGAUGUGAAGUGUGAUCACGUGAAUGUACAAGUCCAUAUUAGGAGAAAAUAGACUACAAACACGUGAAUUACCUCCUGCGACUCCCACCAGUGGCAGAGAGUAAAAUAUAGAAGAAUCUAGAUGCUAGGUUUCCGCCUUAUCAAAUGGCAUGUUGUUUAUGGUAAUAAAGAAUCAUUUUAACUGG